rnacentral:rRNA from 1 species
UACGUAGGGGGCGAGCGUUGUCCGGAUUUAUUGGGCGUAAAGAGCGUGUAGGCGGUUCGGUAAGUCUGUCGUGAAAUCCUGAGGCUCAACCUCGGGCGUGCGAUGGAUACUGCCGGGCUAGAGGGUGGUAGAGGCGAGUGGAAUUCCCGGUGUAGCAGUGAAAUGCGCAGAUAUCGGGAGGAACACCAGUAGCGAAGGCGGCUCGCUGGGCCACACCUGACGCUGAGACGCGAAAGCUAGGGGAAGCG